rnacentral:rRNA from 1 species
GUCGAGCGGUAAGGCCUUUCGGGGUACACGAGCGGCGAACGGGUGAGUAACACGUGGGUGAUCUGCCCUGCACUUCGGGAUAAGCCUGGGAAACUGGGUCUAAUACCGGAUAUGACCUCCUAUCGCAUGGUGGGUGGUGGAAAGAUUUAUCGGUGCAGGAUGGGCCCGCGGCCUAUCAGCUUGUUGGUGGGGUAAUGGCCUACCAAGGCGACGACGGGUAGCCGACCUGAGAGGGUGACCGGCCACACUGGGACUGAGACACGGCCCAGACUCCUACGGGAGGCAGCAGUGGGGAAUAUUGCACAAUGGGCGAAAGCCUGAUGCAGCGACGCCGCGUGAGGGAUGACGGCCUUCGGGUUGUAAACCUCUUUCAGCAGGGACGAAGCGCAAGUGACGGUACCUGCAGAAGAAGCACCGGCUAACUACGUGCCAGCAGCCGCGGUAAUACGUAGGGUGCAAGCGUUGUCCGGAAUUACUGGGCGUAAAGAGUUCGUAGGCGGUUUGUCGCGUCGUUUGUGAAA